GCAGAGGGUCGCUUCAGCCCGAUCACAGAAGCGUGGGUACGAGCAACAGUCCAGAAUAAAAUUGAAUAAAACCAGGCGAACCAGAAAAAGGUAAGCCUAUGUAACAAGUGUCACCUGGCAGUUUGUUGCUCUCUGCCAGGUGAUUGGCUGAAGAGCUGUGAAAAGGUAGUGGGUGUGUGGGGUGAAGUCAGCGCUCUUCUGUGGAAAAAAACAGAGGCAAUUAAUUCACUCAUGUGCGAGUGGGUAUACUGUCGUGUGACCACGAAUUUUAAUAGAAGAAUUGAUCAAGCCCUAGAUCGACUGCGCGGAGGGAAACUGAUCAAUAUUCUGUGCUGUCUCUGCUGUCCUUUUUUCGUUCUUUUGAUUGAUUUGUAAUUUUGUUUUGGUUAGUCCGUCCAGCCGCAAAGGCGGUUAUUGAUUGAGAGUAAGUUGUGUAAGGGCGGACUAACCUCCCUUUUGUUUUUUUUGUUUAAUUGUUUGUGCCACUUCCCUUUAUCUCCCAAUCGCAGGCCAUCCAUAGUACUGAUUCCCAGCUGCGCUGAGACCCGAAUUGUUUGCAGUGUGUGCCACGAUUGCAGUGUCGCUAAGCGGGGUGUGACGGGUUGCAGUGUUGUUAUUUUCGCACAGCUUGUGUGGUAAGUCUCAUGUGCAGCUGGCAUAUCAGCAGGAUGUGUUGUAAGUCCUGUCUGGAAAUGACAUGAUGGGAAUUUGUAUGUCUAACUCAUGUAAUAAAUAAAUGAUCAAUUUAUUUCUUUGCCCCGUUUACUCAUCUCUUGUCCUCUGUUA
ensembl:lncRNA